GGAAGCUGUCGCUCUCAGAGUAGAAAGGUUUCAGCCAGUGGAGGGCCUCUCCUUCAAUUUCACCAGAAAAUGAGCUGUCAUCACUUGGAGAGCGGUGCCCAAGCUGGAUGCCCAGUCUUCUGACAGAUUCCCUGAGCCAUAAGGUGAUUCUACACUGACACCAACACCCUCCAGACUCUUCCUGGGCGCUGCACCCUUGUGUUUCCAACUCCUGAGUGGCAGCAGUGACAAGCACAGGGCUUGGAUGAAUUUGCCCUCUAGUUACAACCUCACCUCAAGGUGGACAUCCUCAUUCUGGCCCCUGCUAUGUUUUAGCAGAUCACAACCAAAGGUACACAAGCACAGAGAGAAUUUGCCAUCCACCCAUGCCUUGCUCCCAGCUGAAGCAGUCCCUGGGUUUACUUUGGCACAGUCCCCAUCUGUGUGCUUAGCACCCACUCUCCUAGACCACAGACUGAUGUAACAGGGGCACACCAGCCUUUAACCUGGCACUGACACUGCAGAUAAACCUUGGGCUUAAAGCACUGUGUGUCACUGAUCUGGGAGCACAUUUCAGUCUCCAGAAUUAAAAUGGGGUUUGAGUUCAAGUCCAAACUAGUGAGACAAAAAACAGAAAGACAACUAAAAGAUAAUAAAACGCUAAUGUUCUUCCCUUCUCCAUGGAGGAGUGGGGACACUGGCAGAGCUGCAUGUGAAGCCCUGGGCUGGUCCAGCUGGAGGCUGUAGGUCAGGAGUGAAACUUCAGUAAGAAGCAAAUAAUACCCAAGAAGUGCUACAGAAGAAGAACCACGGAGAAAAAUCCAGAGACAUCACAAAGAAUUAAUUUGUAUCCAAAUGUUUCUGAUGACAUCCCAGUAAAAAAUUGGGAAAAUUUUUU